rnacentral:lncRNA from 1 species
UUCUUCUCCUUUGCAUAAAUCUUCUAGAUGUUUAUUUAUUUUUGCUCAACUUUUCUUUUUUUCUUCUUCUUCAUAUUUUAACCUAUAAACAAAAAACAUAUUUAACCACGUAGAACCCACAACUACUGUUGUUUUCAUAAAUUUAAUUUAAUUAUCGGACCCAUCGGUCCAGAUAUAACACUAAUAUAGAUCACGAGAAAGCAUAUGAUUCAUCAGCUCUGUCUCGAUUAAUUUGCGGUAACUCCUCCACCAAUAUGUUUUCAAAUAUAUAAACUUUUGAGAUUAUAAAACCCUUGUUAGGUUACAAGAACAUCUAGGGCUUAACACUGUUUGGCUGAUAGUUGAUAGUUUUUUUCCAAAGAAGGUUGAAUCUACCAACCUUGUUGGGUCUAAAAUCAUGUAAUUGGACGUAUCACACUUGGGAUUUCUAACAAAAACACUUACAAUUUGGUGACGAAUUGAAAGGAGUAUGUAUAUGAUUAGAAGAAGGUGUAUGAUCUCUUAUAUAUAUAUAUAUUCCCUCAAAGUUUGCAAAAGGAUGCCACUUUCUAAUAUUUAUAUGGUCCUACAGAUCUUAUGGCAAGUGGGAUACUUGGGAAAAAGUUUGGGUACAACCGCAAAAGCUUCUUUGAAGAUUUCACCAAAAGCAAAAAGAAGAAAGAAAGAAAAAGAAAGUGAAAAGGA